CCCCAAUCACCUAGGGGGAAGGGUUUACUACCGGGGACGUGGCUGUGUGAUGGAUUCAGUUAUUUGGGCACUGAAGCUUUCAGGAGGCCACAAUACUGAGAGAGAGAUACGGGUCCAAAUUCCCAGCACUCCGAUGACUGUGCAACGUGAAGCAUGCUCUUUAACUUCUAUGAUCCUCGGUGUUCUUAUUGGGAAGAACGGGCUGACAUAGGGAUUAAACUACAGAGCAUGCCCUAGUUCUGUGGCAUGGUUCUUGGCACACAGUAGGUGUUCCAGGAGCGCUCGUUAGAGUCAACAAUUGUGCUUGCUCCAGAUAUGAAGUUAACUUGGGCUCUGUGAAUAGUGCUACCCAGUGGAAUAUGCACAGAUGUGACAUGUGACCUUCCAGACCAAGAAAAGAGCUGAUGCGUCUCCUUUUCUAUUCCCCUGCCUGCUCAACUCCAGUCCAGUUGGCAUGGUUACAAGAUAAAGUCAGUCCACGCUGUUGAGUCAUGUUUUGGGUGAGAGCCACACGGGAAUGUCAGCUAAGCCACAUCAAACUUUGAGACCUGCGAUUGGGGCACAUAUGUGCC
ensembl:lncRNA